rnacentral:rRNA from 1 species
ACGCAAGUUGCGCCCGAAGCCAUCAGGUUGAGGGCACGUCUGCCUGGGCGUCAAGC